rnacentral:rRNA from 1 species
UGGGGAAUCUUGCGCAAUGGCCUAACGGCUGACGCAGCGACGCCGCGUGAGGGAUGACGCUCUUCGGAGUGUAAACCUCUUUUGCCCGGGACGAAUUGCCAACAUUCGUUGGCUUGACGGUACCGGGUGACUAAGCACCGGCUAACUCCGUGCCAGCAGCCGCGGUAAUACGGGGGGUGCGAGCGUUGUCCGGAAUCACUGGGCGUAAAGGGCGCGUAGGUGGUCUGAUAAGGGUGUGGUGAAAGCCCGGGGCUCAACCCCGGGUCGGCCGUGCCGAUUGUCAGACUGGAGUGCUGUAGGGGCAGGCGGAAUUCCGGGUGUAGCGGUGGAAUGCGUAGAGAUCCGGAGGAAGACCGGUGGCGAAGGCGGCCUGCUGGGCAGUUACUGACACUGAUGCGCGACAGCGUGGGGAGCAAAC